UACGUAGGGUCCGAGCGUUGUCCGGAAUUAUUGGGCGUAAAGAGCUCGUAGGCGGUUUGUCGCGUCUGCUGUGAAAUCCCGAGGCUCAACCUCGGGUCUGCAGUGGGUACGGGCAGACUGGAGUGCGGUAGGGGAGAAUGGAAUUCCUGGUGUAGCGGUGAAAUGCGCAGAUAUCAGGAGGAACACCGGUGGCGAAGGCGGGUCUCUGGGCAACAACUGACGCUGAGGAGCGAAAGCGUGGGGAGCGAACAGG
rnacentral:rRNA from 1 species